GCCCUUAUGACGCCGUCAGGUGCCCGCAACGCGGGAGAAUCGGGAAUCCGGUGUUAUUCCGGAACGUGCCCAACGCUGUGACGGGGACGACUGCCUCUAGGGAUUUUGAGCUUGCUCAAGAUCUUGCCACUGGAUCUUCAUGUGAUCUGGGAAGGUGAGGCGGCCGGUUGAUCCGAAGUCAGAAGACCGGCCUGGCAAGAUAGACCGAU
rnacentral:ncRNA from 2 species